rnacentral:rRNA from 1 species
AGGGCCUACGGGAGGCGGCAGUGGGGAAUAUUGCGCAAUGGGGGAAACCCUGACGCAGCAACGCCGCGUGCGGGAUGAAGGCUUUCGGGUUGUAAACCGCUUUCAGCAGGGAAGAUAAUGACGGUACCUGCAGAAGAAGCCCCGGCUAACUACGUGCCAGCAGCCGCGGUAAUACAUAGGGGGCAAGCAUUAUCCGGAAUUAUUGGGUGUAAGGGGUGCGUAGACGGAAGAACAAGUUGGUUGUGAAAUCCCUCGGCUCAACUGAGGAACUGCAACCAAAACUAUUCUCCUUGAGUGUCGGAGAG